UUUUGGUAAAACGGCUACUCAUUUCAUAUAAAUCUAACGUGAGUACAACCAGCCAUAUCACGAGAAAGUAAAAGAUACAAAGGAUGAGGGACGUCUGAUGCCUCCGUCCAGAGAAAGUCUCCAGAAUGCCGGGCAACAAAGGAGGCGACCCAAUCAGCUGAUCUGUUCGCCUCCCUAAACACGUGUCCAAUCUGACAAUCACCCAUCAGCUGGAUCAUCCUACGGGUCUCUCGGAUGAGAGGGUGACCAUCCCCAAACCGAUCCGCCCCUCGGAGCCAGUCAAUAACCACUGAUGAGUCUCCCUCGAGGUAGACCCG
rnacentral:lncRNA from 1 species